UGUUCAUUUGCUUUCCCACAUAACCAACCUCUCCUAAAUCAUUUACCACAUAUUCCACUCAUUGACCUCUCAAAUAUUUCCUCCAAACUAAAUUACUUUUCCAACAUAUAUCUUUUAUAUUCCAACAAGGAGGGCACGCAAAUAAUAGAAUUCUACUCCAAGUCAUUAUUUACCCUUUUCCUCAAUGGUUGUCGUGCAAUUAAUUCUCUGGAUUUCGGCCCUUGUCUUGAGGAUGGCUGUGAUAAAUGCAAGAUAAGUCAUUUGCUUAUAGGUUCUGCCCGAUACUGGAGAUGGUAAUCUUGGUAUCACUUAAGCUGCUUGAUGGUGAAAUUUGGGCCAAGGCAAUUAUUGAACCCUGCACUCCAAAGCAAUGAUUAAACCCUGCUCACUUAAGCAUCGUCCAUACUUCAUAUAUGAAGACUUCAUUCCUUUAGGUACAUUACAUCUAUGUGUAUGGUUAGUGUAGACAGAUGCUUUAAAACUGACAUUAGUAUAUAUUACUUAACAAUCUUCUGGUAUCCACGACCACGACAUAUCUGCAACAAUGAUCGAGACACUUGAUACGGGCCUGUUUGAUAGAGUGGUGACAAGAAAAUGAGAAAAUGGAAAAGAAUCAGAACUUCGACAGAAAAAAAGAAGUUAUUUUUUUGGUAUUUUGGUAGGUUCUAUAGUGAGGCUUGACAUUAUUAUCCUCAACUAUAACUUCGAUUUCUGUUUUCGUCCAAUGUCUAGUGAGGAAGCUAAGUUGAGUUCAACACACGAAGUACAACUCAAAAUUUUGGGUC